rnacentral:rRNA from 1 species
AGUCGAGCGGAUGAGAAGAGCUUGCUCUUCGAUUCAGCGGCGGACGGGUGAGUCCUGUCUAGGAAUCUGCCUGGUAGUGGGGGACAACGUUUCGAAAGGAAUGCUAAUACCGCAUACGUCCUACGGGAGAAAGCAGGGGACCUUCGGGCCUUGCGCUAUCAGAUGAGCCUAGGUCGGAUUAGCUAGUUGGUGGGGUAAAGGCUCACCAAGGCGACGAUCCGUAACUGGUCUGAGAGGAUGAUCAGUCACACUGGAACUGAGACACGGUCCAGACUCCUACGGGAGGCAGCAGUGGGGAAUAUUGGACAAUGGGCGAAAGCCUGAUCCAGCCAUGCCGCGUGUGUGAAGAAGGUCUUCGGAUUGUAAAGCACUUUAAGUUGGGAGGAAGGGCAUUAACCUAAUACGUUAACGUGUUUUGACGUUACCGACAGAAUAAGCACCGGCUAACUCUGUGCCAGCAGCCGCGGUAAUACCGAAGGUGCAAGCGUUAAUCGGAAUUACUGGGCGUAAAGCGCGCGUAGGUGGUUCGUUAAGUUGGAUGUGAAAUCCCCGGGCUCAACCUGGGAACUGCAUCCAAAACUGGCGAGCUAGAGUAUGGUAGAGGGUGGUGGAAUUUCCUGUGUAGCGGUGAAAUGCGUAGAUAUAGGAAGGAACACCAGUGGGGAAAGCGACCACCUGGACUGGUACUGACACUGAGGUGCGAAAGCGUGGGGAGCAAACAGGAAUAAAUAUCCUGGGAGUCCACGCCGCGAACGAAGUGCACUAGCCGGUGGGAUCCUUGAGAAAUUAGUGGCGCAGCUCACGCCAUUAAUUGAACGCCUGGGGGAGGCGGGCGCCAGGGUAAAC